UAGGACCUCCAUCAGCACCUAGGAUCUCCAUCAGCACGUAGGAUCUCCAUCAGCAGCUAGGAUCUCCCUCAGCACCUAGGACCUCCAUCAGCAGCUAGGACCUCCAUCAGCACCUAGGACCUCCAUCGGCAGCUAGGACCUCCAUCGGCAGCUAGGACCUCCAUCGGCAGCUAGGACCUCCAUCGGCAGCUAGGACCUCCAUCGGCAGCUAAGACCUCCAUCAGCAAAGGCUGGGUCUAGACCCCCAUGGGCUCCAGGUUCCACCCAACUCCCAGCCAUCUGCCCAGACCGACCCACACCCACCUCCUGCAGAUGCCCUGGGCAUUACUGAACCCCUAUUUCCUGAAGCCAGCCAGCGAGUGGGAGCACCGGCCAGCAUGGUCCUCCCUGGCCCCAGGGAUCUCCCAGCCCUGGGACAUGGGACUCCUGGGCAGACUGCCUUCCCCCAGCUUGUGCAGGCCGGCACCAGGCACAGAAGCCCAGCACAGGGCCUCUUAUCAGCCCCUCCAUCUCUUCCCCAGAACAGGCCCAGCCUGCUUGCCCAGCCUGUCACCAUGCCUGGCAGGGAUGGCAUCACCCAGCCGGCUGUAUGCAACUGCUGAAACCCCGUGGGCCCUGCUUCCAGUGCCGCACCCUCCUCACCCAGGAUGGCUGCAGGAUUUACCAGGUCCUCCGCACAGUGAAAAUGUGAACUCCUUGCCCCAAGAUGAUGAAGAAUUUCAAGACGGCAAUGGUAGAUUGGUAAAUUAACCUCAGGUGCCAUGUGACAGCACAGGUUGGGUGCUGUGAGCCAUGCAUGAAGCUCCUGGUGGGUACAGCUCUGCCUCAUGGGUCACCCCUCUCUACCGUGACCACGAGGACUGGGCUGGGUAUGCAGUGCCCUGCUGUGACUCCUGACACACAGACCCCUAGCCAUCCCCUCCACCCCCUCCCUGACCUCCUCUCCCAGGGAUGCAACUGGGGGAGCACACCCAUCCCCAGAAGAACCCCAAAUCUCUGGCUGGCUGUCUCUUACCCAACCCCCAUCCCCAGCUCCGCUGAGGGGCAAGCGUGCUGCUGGGCUGCUCCUGAGGAGAAACCCACGGCGCCACCCUCAGGCCCCCGGUGGCUCCUCAACCUGGGCCCCAUCUCUGCCCCCCAUCUUGGCUCCUCAGGCAUAUUUAAACUUUGCCCCUCCCACCCCCGUGCCUGGCGGAUCCCCUGGCACUGAGGCCCAGCCAGUGGCUCCAGCCAACGCACUUGGCUCCCGCAGCAAGUUAAAUCUAACCCAGCCCAGCUGUCUCUCCUCCGGCUCCCACCUGCCCCUCCCGUUCCCUGCAGGGAUGUGCCCACACCCUGCCCACCCUACAUGGGCCCUCAGGAAGGGUGCAGAGGUCCCCCAGGGUCCCCCACUUUCCCACACUAAGAAAGCCCUUUGCCUAGCAGCCUCUGGGGUGGGUGCCCUGCUUCUGGAGGUACCCCGGCGCCCAGGGUGGGGCCAGCAGAGUGCAGCAGGUUUUCAACAGGUAUUUCAAGAAGGAGCAGGAACCCACUUCCCAUCAGUCAGGGUGCAGCCAGGAAGAGGGAAACUCCAGGGCCAACGCUGAAGUGGCCGCUGCAGCACCACGCUGGGGCACGGAGUUGGAGUACAGCCCUUGUGCCACAGGCGUGCCAGGGAAUGUGUGCCAGGCGCUCUGUCUUGCAUCUGGGGCUGUCGGUUCUUCUGAGGCAGGGCACUCAUAGGUCACUUCUGGAGAUGUCCACAUUUCUGGGUCUGGGACGAUCUAGGCCUGGCUUUGGGGCCAUCUGUAAUCUGCUCCCCGUAGCCCCAUGUUUUGUUUAGGCUGGAAGUGCACUCAGCUAAAAUGCCGUUAUCCUACCAAAAGUGGCAUAGGAUGGAGUUCUGGCCAGUGAGAUGUGAGCAGAAGUGCUGGGUGUGUCUUCAGGGACAGAUCCUCAAAGGGAGCUGACUCAUCUAGGGGGCAGCACUUUUGCUCUUCGUCUUUUCCUUCCUCCUUUCUGGUCAGGUAUGCUUGUGAUGGCUGGAGCAUCAGCAGCUGUUUUGCACAAUGAGGUGACACUGAGGCUGGAAGCCAGCACUAGGAGAGUGAUACAGUAAGCAGAGAAGCCAGGGCUGUCACGUCGCAGAGGAGACUGGAGAGCCGCGGCGGGGAGGGGUCAGCUGCGGCCACGUGAGGGCCAGGCCCCUCUCUGACUGCCCAGGCUGCAUCCACACAGAAGAUUCCAUGGCUUUCCAUAAAAGAGAGUGGGAGAAUGUCCUCUCUAAAGGCCUGGGGAGAGGAGACAGCCUCGGCCGGGGCUCACCAGCCAGCAGCUGCCAGCCAGGCCAGCAAUGCCAAGGCACCCGGCGUUCCUGGAAGCCAAGCCCUGUUUGAUCUAAUGGGGCAGCUGUGGGUGCAGACCCAGAUAAAGAGAUAAACCCAGACCCAGAAACCUGGGGGAGGAGGUGGGAGCAACAACCUCUCUUCCGCCUCCUUCACCGUGAGAGGAAAGGAAGCGGGAUGACAUAGUUGUGGCUGGGACUGCUGGACCCCGCACGCCAGCCCUGGGAGGUAUGUGGGUCAUGAAAUCCACCCACUGGUGACCUGCCCCAUGGUGAGGGAGGGAGAGAGCUUCUCCCCUCCUUGGCUAAGAGGACAGAGGGAGGAUCCUAGAAAUUCUGUCAGGAAGCAGAAAUUUGGUCUGAGAGCAGUGAAGGUGGGAGCAGACACCCCCCAAAUCACCUGCAGGAUGAGCAUUUCUCAGGCUCUAGAGAGCAUGUGUGGCACACAGCCGCCAGCCCACCUGGUGCGGGGGUCCAGCAGCCACAGCCAUGGGAACUCCUGGGCCUGUUGUUCGUGUGCGGAUCCUGGUCCGGGAGCCUGGAUGCGGCUCUGCCUUGCCGACAAGCUCCUGGGCCAGGCCUGGUCCACCAGACCUCCCUAUGCUUGGAGUGCCUGCUUGUUGUGCCUGGAGCUGUGCUGGGCCCUUCCUCAUUGCAGGGCUGGGGGAGUCACUUAACCUGUCUGGGGCUCAGUCUUCUCAUCUGUAAAGUGGGAAUGAUGGCACCUGGUACCCACUUGAUUGGCUGUUGCAAACAUGAAACCAGAUGGGCCUGUAAAUCACAGGGCACUCGGCCGCCAUCACCAUCAUCAUCAUCAACAUCAUCAUCCUCAUCAUCGUCUUCAUCAUCAUGGCCCCAGCUCAUCCAUCUUUGUUGCCUUCUCCACCCCCAUCUUCCAUCCUUGGAGAACUGUGCCUCUUGAAUUGGCCUUGUGACCUAGUAAAGAUCAUGACAAAGACGCCU
rnacentral:sRNA from 1 species